rnacentral:rRNA from 1 species
UACGAACUGUGCAAUCGUUAUUCGGAAUCACUGGGCUUAAAGGGUGCGUAGGCGGCCAUUUAAGUAGGGUGUGAAAGCCCUCGGCUCAACCGAGGAAUUGCGCUCUAAACUGUCGUGCUCGAGGAACCUAGAGGUGAGCAGAACAGAUGGUGGAGCGGUGAAAUGCGUUGAUAUCAUCUGGAAUACCGGAGGCGAAGGCGGCUCACUGGGGGUUUUCUGACGCUGAGGAACGAAAGCCAGGGUAGCGAACGGG